rnacentral:rRNA from 2 species
GCAGUCGAACGAGUUCUCGUUGAUGAUCGGUGCUUGCACCGAGAUUCAACAUGGAACGAGUGGCGGACGGGUGAGUAACACGUGGGUAACCUGCCCUUAAGUGGGGGAUAACAUUUGGAAACAGAUGCUAAUACCGCAUAGAUCCAAGAACCGCAUGGUUCUUGGCUGAAAGAUGGCGUAAGCUAUCGCUUUUGGAUGGACCCGCGGCGUAUUAGCUAGUUGGUGAGGUAAUGGCUCACCAAGGCGAUGAUACGUAGCCGAACUGAGAGGUUGAUCGGCCACAUUGGGACUGAGACACGGCCCAAACUCCUACGGGAGGCAGCAGUAGGGAAUCUUCCACAAUGGACGCAAGUCUGAUGGAGCAACGCCGCGUGAGUGAAGAAGGCUUUCGGGUCGUAAAACUCUGUUGUUGGAGAAGAAUGGUCGGCAGAGUAACUGUUGUCGGCGUGACGGUAUCCAACCAGAAAGCCACGGCUAACUACGUGCCAGCAGCCGCGGUAAUACGUAGGUGGCAAGCGUUAUCCGGAUUUAUUGGGCGUAAAGCGAGCGCAGGCGGUUUUUUAAGUCUGAUGUGAAAGCCCUCGGCUUAACCGAGGAAGCGCAUCGGAAACUGGGAAACUUGAGUGCAGAAGAGGACAGUGGAACUCCAUGUGUAGCGG